UAAAAUCUCAAUCUAAAGAAGCACAUCGAAGAAAGCUAAACUAAUGGUAAACACCAGUGAAUUAAUUUCAGUUAUCACGAUUAGCCUGGAUAACAGCUUGGGGAGAGCUUUGUGUCUGAUGUUAAGUGAACGUUUUCUUCUCUUGGUGAUAGGCUGGUUAGGGCAUUUGAAUCACUAAUAUUAACUUGGACAUUUGAACAAUGAACACUGAAAUAGUUAUGUAAGCUGAAAAACAGGGUUUUGUGACUGAGAUAAUGAACCCCAUGCUGGUAAUAGGAAAAACGGUGACUUGUGUUUUCAGAAAUGGCUUUAAAAUACGUUAACAUUAACCUGUACUUCUUUUUUUAACAAUAGCAUACUCCUGUUUAGGUUUUUAAAGCCCUCUUUUUGAAGUGUGUGAUGUAUGCAAAAUUUUUCUUUUCCAUGCUUUAAAAAGCUGAGUAAACGUUUUGAUAUUAAAAGUUUAGACAGCGUUCCGUUGUUAUUCAUAUUUACUUGCACUUUAAUUACUCAAGUACAGUUAGUUACAGAUUAUUUGUAAUACUUAAGUACAGUGAACACUAGGUACUUUAAGACUUUUACUUGAGUGGAAUUCUAGUUGGUGACUUGGGAGGGUAUCUGUACUUAUACUUAAGUGUGACUUUCGGGUACUUUAUACAAGACUGUGAACAAGCUCGACUGUCUCAGACGGAAAUUAUAGCUCAGAGGUAAUGAUACUAUAUUAAUAAUCUCUGAGUUAAUGAUUAAGACAUAUAUCAGCCUUCCAGCUGCAACUGACUAGAAAUCAACCUAAUGUUUUUCAUGUUAGAAAUCAUAAACCUGCUUCAGUUCAUGUCUCUGUGUGAAAUCAGAUGUUACUCACAUGGCAUAAGGCCCAAUGUGCCUCUGACUGUAAUCACCCAGAGUGUGGCCCAGCGUGACUCCUGAUGACAUGUUAAUCUCUUGGAGUGGGAAUUCCAUUUCCAUAAAAGUUAUUGUAGGAAACCUCGUUAAUGGAAAUAUAUUUUCAAAACCUUCGAACAAUAUUGGCAUUUCGCAUUUUUCUCACAAAAAACUGUCAGGUAGUGACAACUCCAAUGAGCAGAGUGAAAAAACGAUUAAAAUCGGUAUUUAACUAACUAAAUCAGAAGAGGAAAAAGAAGAAUAAUUUAGCUUGGCAUAAUUCUAUGUUUAAAACAUUUUGAACAGUUUCCAUGCCAGGUAGUGCAACCCAAGAAAACCCAUCAAAACAUGAUGAAUAUCAUAAAGUAUGAAUAUCAUGAAAUAAUUUAUUAUUUAAAUCAUAUAUAAAAACUUGAUAUCAAGGACAAAGGUUAAAAUUGUGCAGGUGGUGCAACCGGAAUCAGUAUUACUACUAAUUAUAAAUGCAGUUUACAAGUAGGAAUAAACAUUGAUGAAGUGUAGACACUUAACCUUAUGGGAAUUGACAGGGCUUCAUGUUUGAUUGGGCCAAUUUUUUGCCUUUGGUUUGGUUACUAUAUAACCUCAGAUGUGAAUUAUGUCUGAUAGCUGAAAUGAAAGCUGACCAUUGAUUGCAGUAACUUGGAUAAUUCAAAUUCAUAACUUCUGUCUAAAAAGUCAAAAAAUUUGACAAAAAAGUCAAACAAAUACAAAAACACAUCUUUGUGUUUUGGUAUUUUGUGAAUAUCUCAAAAACUACAUGAUGGAUUAUAUCAAAGUUAAAAUAUGUGGUUCUCAGACUUGUUUUCUAAAUGUACACCUAAUUUUAUUGUGCUAAAAUGCUUUUAUAAAAUUAAAUUAUGUGAAAUAUACAAAUAUCUCCUGCUCCUUCAGUAUUUCCUCCAAAGAAAGUGUACAUUCGACACAAGCAUUGUCUUUUUUUAGUUAAAUAUAUGUGUAACAGCAAUUCUGUGACCAUUGUAUUCUGUGACUCCAGUAGAUACUGUUGCCACUAUAUAGCUUGAGCUUGCUCACACAGAUGUGUUCCUAACGCAAACAAUGUAAACUCAUACGUUGUAAACAAAUGAAUGUCAAUGCGAUGUAGAGUGGGUGUAUAGAAAUGCUGGCUUUUAACAUGAUAUAGGUUUAGCUGCUUGUUAUAUCAGAUUAAACAAAAUUAGGCUGAUUUGUAGAGUAGCCUAUUUGUAUAAUUCUAACACAACUAAAAAGUGAUUAAAGCUCACAUGGGCAACUUGAUGCUAUGAGUAUACAGUCAAAGUAAAAAGUAUGUGAACCCCUUGGAAUUUAUUCAUAAAAAGUGAUCUGAUCUUCAUCUAAGUCACAGGUACUGAUAUACACAAUGAGCUUAAGCCAAUAACACAAAAAAGGUUCUACUCUUUCAAGUUUUUAUUAUUCAAACAUAUUCAGCAUUCACAGUGGUACUGGAGAAGGUAAGUGAACCCUUAGGUUCAAUAACUGGUUGACCCUCCUUUGGCAGCAAUGACCGCAACCAGGCACUUCCUGUAAUUGCAGAUCAGACCUGCACAUCGUGUGGAGAGAGUUUUAGCCCAUUCUUCCCCUGCAAAACUGCCUUAACUCUUCCAUAUUCUUUGGUUGCCUUCUGUGUAUUGCUCUCUUAAAGUCAUUCCACAGCAUCUCAAUAGGAUUGAGAUUGGGGCUCUGACUGGGCCACUCCACUGCGAUGUUUGGGGUCAUUGUCCUGUUACAUCACCCAGCCUCAGUUGAAGGACAGACAUUCUCACAUUAUCCUGAAGAAUUUGCUGAUAAAGUUGGGAAUUCAUUUUCCCCUCAAUGAUGGCGAGCUUUCCAGACCCUGAUGCAGCAAAGCAGACCCAAAUCAUGAUGUUCCCUCCACCAUACUUUACUGUAGGGAUGAUGCAUUUAUCUUUUUACGCCAAAUGAAGUUCUGCUUGUUCCUCCCAAAUAGUUCAAUUUUAGUUUCAUCACUCCACAAAACAUUUUCCCAGUAUCGCUGUGGAGUGUCCAAGUGCUCCUUCGCAAACUUCAGGCGUACAGCAAUGUUUGACAGCAGUGGCUUCCUUCUUGGUGCUCUGCCAUGGACUCCUUUCUAGCUGAUUCAUGAACACAGAUGCUAGACAGUUCUAAUGACUUCUUCAAGUCUUUCGCUGUCACUUUAGGAUUCUUCUUUUCCUCAAAGAUGACUUUGCGUUGUGCUAUUGGGGUCAUCUUGGCAGGGCGCCCACUUCUAGGCAGAGUAGCCACGGUACCAAAUUGUCUCCAUUUAUAGACAACUUGCCUAAUAGUUUAUAUUAAUAAUAAUAUAAUAAUAAUUUAUAGACAACUUGCCAACAGUAGACUAAUGAAUAUGUAAAAUCUUUGAGACAACUUUGUAACCCUUUCCAGCCUUAUGUAACUUAACAAUUCUUGAUCUUAGGUCUUCAGACAGCUCUUUUGUGCGAGGCAUGAUUCCCAUCUGGACAUGCUUCUUGUCAAAAGCCCAAACUGAACCUUUUCAGUGGUUUUUAUCAACCAAAGUAAUUCUAGGCCACACCCCUGAACUCGUUUCAUUAAAUGGACUCCAGGUGUGCUAAAUUUUUAAGCUUUUAAAAAAAGUCAUUUACUUGGGGUUCACUUACUUUUUCCUACUUUAUACAAUAUGGUCAAAUAUUCUCUGAAAAUCUGUGUAUCUUAAUUAUAGGACACAGUGUUUGUAAAUUAUUGUGACUUACAUGAAGAUUCAACUAUGUUUUAUAUGGGAUUUAGUCAUACACGUAGAAAAUUCCAAGGGGUUCACAUACUUUUUACUUUGAACAUAUUUAAAUGGGCCACUCUAACCUGCGAGAGAGUGCCUGUUGGAAAGGCCGUCUCCGAAAACGGGAUGCCAACGCGCAUACGCUUGGAUCAGCGUCAGGAGCGUCUCUUUUGAGUUUUCAGAGGUGGUUUUCUGAUUGUGCCGCACCAGAUCAUCCUACCCAGUGCCGAACGAUCCUGGCCAGUUACUCACCAUACUCAGGGGUGCAGUAUUGUGUGCCACUGACGAACUACCACAUGCACACCCUGUCUACAACUAAGUCAUUGCACCUGUAACAGCCAAUGGCCAGCCUACAGUAUGUUAACUCCAGUGCAAUACUGUACCGCCUAAUUGAAUGCAGUAAAGUUUGGAACUGCGUCUGCCUUCCCUGGUGUUCUUACCGAUGCCACCAGAGAGGUGCCAUCUUACCGGUACCUUCCUCAUACAGUCAUAGCUUCUAACACUUUAAUAAUGCCAGACACACCAACCUUAUUUAAAUGGGCCACAUCAGGUGGCUUAUCUGCCUUUCCUAUGUAUAACCAAAAACUGUCACAACUCUGGUUAACAGCUGGGCCUAGGUACAUGGGCUCACAAUUUCUGAUAGCAACCAUCAAAUUAUGUGAUCCCAAACAAAUCAAGGAAAAAACAGUGACUAAGCAAUCAAAAACCCUUCAGGUAAUUUGUCCUAAAUAGAUAUUAUAAUCUUGGAUAGAUUUCAUGACUUCAGUUGAAGGGUCACAAUUUCUGAUAUCAGCCAUCAGAUGUUGUGACCCCAAACAAAUCAAAAACAACACAGUACCACAGCAGUCAAAAAAGACAUCAGGGGAAUUAUCAUAAAUAUAAAUAAUAAUCCUGGAAAGAUUUCAUAACUGGGGUGUACAGGUCACCUCUGUCAAAGGGGUGACUUUCAUACAGCUGUCAUCUGAUUUUGUGAUCUGAGUGUGGCUUUUGAAAAAGCAACAACACACCAUUAAAUUUCAGGCAAAAGAAACAUGUCCAUCUUCAGACUUUCACCAUGUUUACACACUGCAGACAAUUGUUGUGACAAUUUAUCAAACAUUCCUUAUUGUGUCAGUACAUGCAGUGUGCUACAGUACACAAUAUGCUGCUCCACAAAAUGAGCUGCAUCAACCAAUUUGGUACUGUAACAGCUCUUUGAGUAUCAGAAAGUAGGACAGGGUUUAAGUAUCAUAAAGUUAAUGAAACUGAAAAAUCAUAAUGAUCUUUUUAAACAUUUAUUUGAAAUAUGCCUUUACAUACAGUACAAAAAUCAAUAAAAUGAAAACAAAGAAAUGUGGAAAUUACCCGAAACAUUGGCUACAUGUUUUGGAGUUCAGAUAUAUCCUCUUUCUUAGCCCUCUGUAUAUUUUUCUAAUGUUGAUUUUUUAAAUUACAUAUACUUCUUUCCAGCCAUAACUCCUCAGACAACAGACGCUUGAAACCCUGAUCGGCAAGUCUGCAAUUGGUUGUUUAAAUGGCAAUUGGCUGUCUAAAUGUAUAAAAAUGAAUUUCCGUUUUAUGCAACUUUGGGUCAACUUUAUGCUUUUACUCCACUAUUUUACUCCAAUAUUAAACCAAAAACCAAAGUACUCCGUCAAAAAAGGAACUUUGUCCGUAUACAGUAGUAUAUAUAUGGGUGUUUGUGUCCACCUACUUCUGUCCAUGUAGUAUACAGUACAUGUAUGUGUGUAUAUGUCUCCAUCUACUUCUGUCCAUGUAGUACAUAUGUAUGUGUAUGUGCGUUUGUGUCACAGAUCAGCACAGGGAAGCAGGCGAAGGAAGCCGUGGAUAAAAAAAGGGUUUUAUUUGCAGAGGAACAUACGUAACGUUAAUGACAGAACUAGGAAAACGCAUGUGAACGCGGUCUGCAAAUACACUGAACUAACAACAGCAACCAGAAACAGCUGGUGAACACAGGGACUCUGCACGAGGUUAACGAGGGGGCAUGAUCGACGAGAGGGCAGGACGAAUGGAGCAUGACAUUACCCAAUGGGAGUGAAGGGACUAACAGGACCUAGAGAAACAAAAGCAAAAUAUCAAUGAGGAACCGGGAACAGGACAGACACACAGAGCAGACACAGGGACAAGAAGCAGGAAAACCACUGACAAACCAACGGGAACGCAGACAGGCACAGGGGCACCAAGAACGGAGACACUGGGGGAACACCAACAGGAGGAAAAAAAGGACCAGGAGCGAACAAAGGAGCGGAGCGACGAGGAGCAGACACAGAGGUACGAAAACAGGAGGCAGGAUGGUAGAGGACGGGGGAAAAUGGGGAGCCCGAGGGAACCCCAGUAGGCAAGAGGCAGAAGCUGCAGAGGCAGCCGGCGACUGCGAGGUUGGAGCCGAAGGGACCUUCGGCAACAGCGAGGCAGGAGCAGGAGGGGACGACGAAGGGGGCAAGGAGGCAGAUGGAGGGACAGGCAAAGGAGGUGAAGAGGAAGAUAACCAGAGGAGGCGAAGAGGAAGGCGAAGGGGGCACUGGGAGAGGGGAAGAGUGAACAGCAGCCACAGCCGGCCCAGGCAUAGGUGACCGAUGAGUCGGAGCGGGGGAACCCGCAGACGACCGAUGAGUUAAUGGAGGCGGGGCCGAAGAGUCAUCGGAGAAGCACCCACAGGCGACCGCCAAGCAGGAGUCCAGGGAACCGCAGGCGACCGCUGAGCAGGAACCGAAGGACCCGCAGGUGCUGCAUGAGUCCCAGCCACAGGGACCGAGGAUGAGCCAGGGGGCAGGGCAGGCAGGAACCAACCCCUGCGCAAGUGACCUCUCCCCCUCCUGGAUAUGAAGAGCCCAAUUCCUGGUUGGGAUCUGCCAAGUGGGGGUAACAGAGCUGGGGUUCGCGCCUUGGCAGUGGGUGCAGGCGAAGUAGCAACAGGCAGACGGGCUUGGGCUCCGGGCCCAAGCGCAGGCGACGUCAGGUUUGGUUCCUUUUGGCAUACUGCGGGGGAAAUGGCGGAGAUGGAGACGGCCCCUAGGGAAACGUGCAACGCUUUCCCUCGUCGCUUUCCCUGCUUCUCUCUCCCCCGAACAAGCGCAACGAGGUCCGGCAAUUCAUGUGGAAUAAAAGGACAAAGACUGUAAUCGCCCCCUACCUGCUGGAUCAUGUCCUCAGCUACCCAGCUCUUCAGCCGGGCUAAAUGCCACCAUACCUCUGCUGUGAGGCGCGGGUCUUCGGCAGGGGAGAAGUGGGUCAAGAUUUCCCUUGACCGGCGAGCGACGGCUUGCGCCGUGGGGUCUCCCUUCAUUUUGGACUCCUUGAGCCAGUAUUCUACCUCGUCCAAAAGGUCAAGGUGUUCCGCCUCAUGGAAGGGAGGCAUCUUCUCCUGUAGUCCUGUCAUUCUGUCACGGAUCAGUACAGGGAAGCAGGCGAAGGAAGCCGUGGUAAUAAAAAGGGUUUUAUUUGAAGGGGAACAUAUGUUAAUGACAGGACUAGGAAAACGUACUUGAACGCGGACUGAAAUACACUGAACUAACAACAGCAACUAGAAAUAGGUGGUGAAUACGGAGACUCCACAUGAGGUUAACGAGGGGGCGUGGUCGACGAGAGGGCAGGACAAAAUAUGUGUCCGCCGCCUUCUGUCCAUCUAGUAUUUUUGCAUGUGUAUGUGCGUUUGUAUAUAUACUGUACAUGUGUCCGCCUUCUUCUCUCCAUGUAGUAUAUACAAUGAGGGAAAUAAUUAUUUUUAUAGUUUGUAACUGUUACAUAAUGACUUUUUCUUGCUUGUUUUGUUAAUAAUCUAUCUUUUGCUGGUUCAAUAAACAUACCAGUGAAAUUACA